UGGGGAAUAUUGCACAAUGGGCGCAAGCCUGAUGCAGCAACGCCGCGUGGAGGAAGACGGUUUUCGGAUUGUAAACUCCUGUUCUUAGUGAAGAAUAAUGACGGUAGCUAAGGAGCAAGCCACGGCUAACUACGUGCCAGCAGCCGCGGUAAUACGUAGGUGGCAAGCGUUGUCCGGAAUUACUGGGUGUAAAGGGAGCGCAGGCGGGGGAGCAAGUCAGCUGUGAAAUCCAUGGGCUUAACCCGUGAACUGCAGUUGAAACUGUUCUUCUUGAGUGAAGUAGAGGUUGGCGGAAUUCCGAGUGUAGCGGUGAAAUGCGUAGAUAUUCGGAGGAACACCGGUGGCGAAGGCGGCCAACUGGGCUUUUACUGACGCUGAGGCUCGAAAGUGUGGGGAGCAAACAGG
rnacentral:rRNA from 1 species